rnacentral:lncRNA from 1 species
GUUAAAAGAUAGAACGGUCUAGUCAAGCGCCAUGUCUCUUGUUCUUCGAUUAACUAUAGCUCUGGAGUUUUUGCAGAUUUUUAAAUAAAACUCUGAGAUUCCUUACAUGACUCUCUCUAGUCUCUCUUUUAUGGUAUUUCUGGAUCCUUACCAAGGCAGUAAUGGUGUAUGCCUUCUCUCAAAGUAUGUGGUAUUUUUGGUAUGAGGCAUAGUGGCAUUGCCUUCUCUCUCACCCUAGUCUAUUAAGGUUUUGAUAUCUGGAGCUCAUAGGUGGGAGACAACUAAUACAUACUUACAAGACAUUUAUUGCAUAGUCAAACCAUGGAUCCAGAAGAACAAGUCAAUAAGUCAAAUCAAGAUGUGCAUGUGUGACGAAUGAAUAGUGAUAAUGGUGAAAAUAAUGGUGAAAGUCUAAUUCUACUUUUGCUCUUUUGAGGGGGUACAUACCUUCCUUGCACUUGAGGCUUUUGAGGGGAAUGAGAUGCUCUAUAUUUUAUUUUUCUUUUCUCUCAGGUGGGUACCCUAAUUCUACUGUCGGACACUUGUCCAUUUUUACCUCUCAUCUCACUUUUUCUUUUUUCGAGGUUUCGGGCACUUGCCCCUUUUUAUUUCCUCGUAUUCACUUUUUUUCAGAGCACUCACCCUCCUGGAAUAAUGUAGCAAGUGGUAGUAAACAAAAUAUCUUGAGCAUUUAUUUCACAGGGAAUAACAGGGAUAGGAUAAUGUUUUUGGCUAUUCUCUCCUAGAUAGGAGUAGAAUAAUUUUGGGUGAAUCUGGAUAUAGAAAUGAGUGGAUGUAUGUGGAUGCGUACUUCCGGAGUAGAAGCAGCAUGCAUGAGUGAACGUGCAAGUGAAUCUUGAUUUUAACCGCAUGACAAGCUCCUAAGGGUCGACACAGCUUGACCACACUCAACGCUCAUAAGCAGUAAAAAGUAAAUGUAUGGUUCAUAGUC